UACGGAGGGUGCGAGCGUUGUCCGGAAUCACUGGGCGUAAAGGGCGCGUAGGCGGCCUGAUAAGUAGGGGGUGAAAUCCUGCGGCUUAACCGCAGGGCUGCCUUCUAAACUGUCGGGCUAGAGCACGGUAGAGGCAGAUGGAAUUCCCGGGUGUAGCGGUGGAAUGCGUAGAGAUCGGGAAGAACAUCAGUGGCGAAGGCGGUCUGCUGGGCCGUUGCUGACGCUGAGGCGCGACAGCGUGGGGAGCAAACAGG
rnacentral:rRNA from 1 species